CGGGACGUAUUCACCGCAGCAUUGCUGAAUCUGCGAUUACUAGCGACUCCAACUUCAUGGGGUCGAGUUGCAGACCCCAAUCCGAACUAAGACCGGCUUUCAGCGAUUCGCUCCACCUCACAGUGUCGCUGCGCAUUGUACCGACCAUUGUAGCACGUGUGAAGCCCUGGACAUAAGGGGCAUGAUGAUUUGACGUCAUCCCCACCUUCCUCCGAGUUGACCCCGGCAGUCUCUCAUGAGUCCCCACCAUAACGUGCUGGCAACAUAAGACAAGGGUUGCGCUCGUUGCGGGACUUAACCCAACAUCUCACGACACGAGCUGACGACAACCAUGCACCACCUGUAUACAAGCCACAAGGGAAACUACAUCUCUGCAGCAAUCCUGUAUAUGUCAAGCCCAGGUAAGGUUCUUCGCGUUGCAUCGAAUUAAUCCCACAUGCUCCGCCGCUUGUGCGGGCCCCCGUCAAUUCCUUUGAGUUUUAGCCUUGCGGCCGUACUCCCCAGGCGGGGCGCUUAAUGCGUUAGCUACGGCACGAACCCCGUGGAAGGGACUCACACCUAGCGCCCACCGUUUACGGCAUGGACUACCAGGGUAUCUAAUCCUGUUCGCUACCCAUGCUUUCGCUCCUCAGCGUCAGUAACUGCCCAGAGACCUGCCUUCGCCAUCGGUGUUCCUCCUGAUAUCUGCGCAUUUCACCGCUACACCAGGAAUUCCAGUCU
rnacentral:rRNA from 1 species